rnacentral:tRNA from 1 species
GGGCCUGUAGCUUAGCCUGGUUAGAGCACCAAAACCCUUUUUCCUCCGGAGAAAGAGGUUGCGCACGUCUUAUAUGACGCCCGCGGACUCGUGCCGCGUGCUGCUCUAGGCUAACUGGUGGUCGAGGGUUCAAAUCCCUCCAGGCCCA